rnacentral:tRNA from 1 species
GAUGGUAUGGCUCAAGUGGUAGAGCACAUGCUUAGCAUGCAUGAGGUCCUGGGUUCAAUCCCCAGUACCUCCU